rnacentral:rRNA from 1 species
GACGAACGCUGGCGGCGUGCUUAACACAUGCAAGUCGAACGGAAAGGCCCUGCUUUUGUGGGGUGCUCGAGUGGCGAACGGGUGAGUAACACGUGAGUAACCUGCCCUUGACUUUGGGAUAACUUCAGGAAACUGGGGCUAAUACCGGAUAGGAGCUCCUGCUGCAUGGUGGGGGUUGGAGAGUUUCGGCGGUUGGGGAUGGACUCGCGGCUUAUCAGCUUGUUGGUGGGGUAGUGGCUUACCAAGGCUUUGACGGGUAGCCGGCCUGAGAGGGUGACCGGCCACAUUGGGACUGAGAUACGGCCCAGACUCCUACGGGAGGCAGCAGUGGGGAAUAUUGCACAAUGGGCGGAAGCCUGAUGCAGCAACGCCGCGUGCGGGAUGACGGCCUUCGGGUUGUAAACCGCUUUCGCCUGUGACGAAGCGUGAGUGACGGUAAUGGGUAAAGAAGCACCGGCUAACUACGUGCCAGCAGCCGCGGUGAUACGUAGGGUGCGAGCGUUGUCCGGAUUUAUUGGGCGUAAAGGGCUCGUAGGUGGUUGAUCGCGUCGGAAGUGUAAUCUUGGGGCUUAACCCUGAGCGUGCUUUCGAUACGGGUUGACUUGAGGAAGGUAGGGGAGAAUGGAAUUCCUGGUGGAGCGGUGGAAUGCGCAGAUAUCAGGAGGAACACCAGUGGCGAAGGCGGUUCUCUGGGCCUUUCCUGACGCUGAGGAGCGAAAGCGUGGGGAGCGAACAGGCUUAGAUACCCUGGUAGUCCACGCUGUAAACGGUGGGUACUAGGUGUGGGGUCCAUUCCACGGGUUCCGUGCCGUAGCUAGCGCUUUAAGUACCCCGCCUGGGGAGUACGGCCGCAAGGCUAAAACUCAAAGGAAUUGACGGGGCCCCGCACAAGCGGCGGAGCAUGCGGAUUAAUUCGAUGCAACGCGUAGAACCUUACCUGGGUUUGACAUGGAUCGGGAGUGCUCAGAGAUGGGUGUGCCUCUUUUGGGGUCGGUUCACAGGUGGUGCAUGGCUGUCGUCAGCUCGUGUCGUGAGAUGUUGGGUUAAGUCCCGCAACGAGCGCAACCCUUGUUCACUGUUGCCAGCACGUUAUGGUGGGGACUCAGUGGAGACCGCCGGGGUCAACUCGGAGGAAGGUGGGGAUGACGUCAAGUCAUCAUGCCCCUUAUGUCCAGGGCUUCACGCAUGCUACAAUGGCUGGUACAGAGAGUGGCGAGCCUGUGAGGGUGAGCGAAUCUCGGAAAGCCGGUCUCAGUUCGGAUUGGGGUCUGCAACUCGACCUCAUGAAGUCGGAGUCGCUAGUAAUCGCAGAUCAGCAACGCUGCGGUGAAUACGUUCCCGGGGCU